ACCACCGCCGAAGAAACCAACGAAGAACACGCCUCCAUGAUCGCCGACCACCACCACCAACGUAUGCCGAUGAGCUUCAAACCACAAUCACUGGUAUCGAUUUCGAACGCUCAAAAAGGUCUUGACCACCACGAUCGCCGCCAUACGCCGACAAAGAUUUUUAGAAGAAUCCUACCAAAGAUCAAGAACAAAGAGUACCACGACACCACUUUGAAUGGUGCUACGCAAGAGAGAGGGAGAGCACAAAGCAGUUCCACAACUCCAAAAUCCAGUUCCGUUUGGUGUGUGGAGCGUCCAGCCGAGAAGAGAUGCUAGCUACACUUAGGAUUUUUCUUUUUCAUUUUGUUUGUAAUAUAGCUUAGGGUAGACGAUGAUGAUGAUGUUCGGCUCAUGGCCAUUGCUCCAAUUUGACAAUGUUUCAUGGCUUGUUUAAAAAGACAAGUUUGUACUCCAUUUUUGUUGCUGUAUUGGUUUCAGAGUGGUAUAUUUUGAGAUAAUGAGUAGUACAUUAUGAAAUUCAAUUAUCACUAUGGUGUCAAUUUCUUG